UAUUUUAAUAGCUUAUUAAGAGUGUAGUACUGAAGAUACUGAGGAGAUAAUGUCUUAAAAUAC
rnacentral:tRNA from 1 species